UGCCAUGUCAAAAUACCUGUUUAUUCUAGAAAUUUUAUUGGCCAAGAUAAAACAUUAUAGCAUAAGAUACACAGCACAGCAUGAUUCAUAAUAUUUUUUAAUAUUUUGGUUAUAGGGUUAAUUACUGUCUGAUGGUAAUUUUAUGUGGGGAACCUUGUGAAUAUAAGACAACUAACAGCUAUUGUUCUGGCUUCUUCUGAUUGGUUCACCACAUAAAAAAUCACCUGUAAGGUAUAAAGCAAAGGACAUGUUUCACGCAAUUUCUUCAAAAUCUUACUAUGUUUGGUAUAAAAUACUAUGGUAAGUGUCAAAAGCUUUCUGUGGUGAUUACCAAGGAAUACCUCAACUAUGGUAAGUGUCAAGCUUUCUGUAGGAAUUACCUAGGAAUGCCUCAACUAUGGUAUGUGUCAAGCUUUCUGUGGGGAUUACCAAGGAAUGCCUCAACUAUUGUAAGUGUCAAAAGCUUUCUGUGGAGAUUACCUAGGAAUACCUCAGCUUUGGUAAGUGUCAAGCUUUCUGUGGGAAUUACCUAGGAAUGCCUCAACUAUGGUAUGUGUCAAGCUUUCUGUGGGGAUUACCAAGGAAUGCCUCAACUAUUGUAAGUGUCAAAAGCUUUCUGUGGUGAUUACCUAGGAAUGCCUCAACUAUGGUAAGUGUCAAGCUUUCUGUGGGAAUUACCUAGGAAUACCUCAACUAUGGUAAGUGUCAAAAGCUUUCUGUGGGGAUUACCAAGGAAUGCCUCAACUAUGGUAUGUGUCAAAAGCUUUCUGUGGUGAUUACCUAGGAAUGCCUCAACUAUGGUAAGUGUCAAGCUUUCUGUGGGAAUUACCUAGGAAUGCCUCAGCUUUGGUAAGUGUCAAAAGCUUUCUGUGGGGAUUCCAAGGAAUGCCUCAACUAUGGUAUGUGUCAAAAGCUUUCUGUGGGGAUUACCAAGGAAUGCCUCAGCUAUGGUAAGUGUCAAAAGCUUUCUGUGGGGAUUACCAAGGAAUGCCUCAGCUUUGGUAAGUGUCAAAAGCUUUCUGUAGGGAUUACCUAGGAAUGCCUCAACUAUGGUAAGUGUCAAAAGCUUUCUGUAGGGUUUACCUAGGAAUGCCUCAACUAUGGUAUGUGUCAAAAGCUUUCUGUGGAGAUUACCAAUUAAUGCCUCAGCUUUGGUAAGUGUCAAAAGCUUUCUGUGGGGAUUACCAAGGAAUGCCUCAACUAUGGUAUAUGUCAAAUGCUUUCUGUGGGGAUUACCAAGGAAUGCCUCAGCUAUGGUAAGUUUCAAAAGCUUUCUGUGGGAAUUACCAAGGAAUGCCUCAACUAUGGUAAGUGUCAAGUUUUCUGUGGGUAUUAUCAAAGAGUAUGGGAGUAUAAAGUAUACUACAUGUUGCUUUUAAUAUUGUGUUAUAUCAUGUAUGUUAUACUUUCAUCUAUUGUUUUUAAUGCACCAUGGUAUUGAUUUCAGCGUAUGAGAUGACUCUAGAGGAGGGGCUGAAGGUGGAAAAGAGGAUGUUCCAUACCACAUUUGCUCUUGUAAUUACAGUCAACGCCCUGUUGAAGUCUUGAAGCUUUUACUUCUUUAGAGCAAAGAGGGGCAGAGAUGUCUAGCACAUCAACUCCUAGAGCACAUCAAGCCUGCCUGUGGUUACCAUUGCAAUGUCACACUUCUGUUCCUGGAUGCAACAAGGAGAACUUUUGGCAUUGGUGACAGUAUAAAUAUUGGAUUAAACUAACAAAGUUGCACUUUUUAUCUCAACAUAA